rnacentral:rRNA from 1 species
GAUGAACGCUGGCGGCGUGCUUAACACAUGCAAGUCGAACGAAGCGUAUUCAAGCGAAGUUUUCGGAUGAAGCGAGGAUAUGACUUAGUGGCGGACGGGUGAGUAACGCGUGGGCAACCUGCCUUUCACAGCGGGAUAACAGAGGGAAGCUUCUGCUAAUACCGCAUAUACCUUUAUAACGCAUGUUAGGGAGGGGAAAGAAUUAUCGGUGAGAGAUGGGCCCGCGUCCGAUUAGAUAGUUGGUGGGGUAACAGCCUACCAAGUCAACGAUCGGUAGCCGGCUUGAGAGAGUGAACGGCCACAUUGGGACUGAGACACGGCCCAAACUCCUACGGGAGGCAGCAGUGGGGGAUAUUGGACAAUGGGGGCAACCCUGAUCCACGACGCCGCGUGAGUGAAGAAGUAUUUCGGUACGUAAAGCUCUAUCAGCAGGGAAGAAAGAAGACGGUACCUGACUAAGAAG